AGCGAACGCUGGCGGCAGGCCUAACACAUGCAAGUCGAACGAAGUCUUCGGACUUAGUGGCGGACGGGUGAGUAACACGUGGGAACGUGCCUUUAGGUUCGGAAUAACUCAGGGAAACUUGUGCUAAUACCGAAUGUGCCCUUCGGGGGAAAGAUUUAUCGCCUUUAGAGCGGCCCGCGUCUGAUUAGCUAGUUGGUGGGGUAAUGGCCCACCAAGGAUACGAUCAGUAGCUGGUCUGAGAGGAUGACCAGCCACAUUGGGACUGAGACACGGCCCAAACUCCUCCGGGAGGCAGCAGUGGGGAAUCUUGCGCAAUGGGCGAAAGCCUGACGCAGCCAUGCCGCGUGGAUGAUGAAGGUCUUAGGAUUGUAAAAUCCUUUCACCGGUGAAGAUGAUGACUGUAGCCGGAGAAGAAGCCCCGGCUAACUUUGUGCCAGCCGCCGCAGUAAAAC
rnacentral:rRNA from 1 species